rnacentral:rRNA from 1 species
AUACCCGAUGGCAUAGUUCUUCCGCAUGGUGGAACUAUUAAAGAAUUUCGGUCAUCGAUGGGGAUGCGUUCCAUUAGGUUGUUGGCGGGGUAACGGCCCACCAAGCCUUCGAUGGAUAGGGGUUCUGAGAGGAAGGUCCCCCACAUUGGAACUGAGACACGGUCCAAACUCCUACGGGAGGCAGCAGUGAGGAAUAUUGGUCAAUGGACGAGAGUCUGAACCAGCCAAGUAGCGUGAAGGAUGACUGCCCUAUGGGUUGUAAACUUCUUUUAUACGGGAAUAAAGUGAGGCACGUGUGCCUUUUUGUAUGUACCGUAUGAAUAAGGAUCGGCUAACUCCGUGCCAGCAGCCGCGGUAAUACGGAGGAUCCGAGCGUUAUCCGGAUUUAUUGGGUUUAAAGGGAGCGUAGGCGGACGCUUAAGUCAGUUGUGAAAGUUUGCGGCUCAACCGUAAAAUUGCAGUUGAUACUGGGUGUCUUGAGUACAGUAGAGGCAGGCGGAAUUCGUGGUGUAGCGGUGAAUGCUUAGAUAUCACGAAGAACUCCGAUUGCGAAGGCAGCUUGCUGGAC